rnacentral:lncRNA from 1 species
AUACUCUUUUCGACAAGACUGGCCAUGCUGACCCAAUACCCACCUCAUAGACCCCUCGAGAGCUACCAGUACCAGAUUAACAAUCGUCCCCAUGGGAGGUGUCGGAAUCAGAAGUUCCUGCAAUUUAUAUUUCUUUUCUUCUUUUUUUUUUUCAAAAUGCCCCUUGGCAAUUAUUACCUUACAUUUUCCUUCUUUCUUUUCGGUUCAGGCUUUUUUUUUUUUUUUUUUUUUUUUUUUUUUNUUUUUUUUUUUUUUAGCAGGAUCGACCUCGAUUCCUCUUAUCUGCUUACAACAAGUCUCGGUAGCUUGAUGACAGCAUUCCAUAAGUGUACUGAUUCGGG